rnacentral:rRNA from 1 species
ACUCCUACGGGAGGCAGCAGUGAGGAAUAUUGGUCAAUGGGCGAGAGCCUGAACCAGCCAAGUCGCGUGAGGGAUGAAUGGUCUAUGGGUUGUAAACUUCUUUUAUAUGGGAAUAAAGUGAGCCACGUGUGGCUUUUUGUAUGUACCAUACGAAUAAGGAUCGGCUAACUACGUGCCAGCAGCCGCGGUAAUAC